GUAUUCCAUACGGAAUACAUAUACUAAAAUUGGAACGAUACAGAGAAGAUUAGCAUGGCCCCUGCGUAA
rnacentral:snRNA from 1 species